rnacentral:tRNA from 1 species
CGGCGGAUAGCUCAACGCUAGAGCGCCAGGACGGCGGAGCCGCAAGAUCGGCGGCAAAACACCACCUGAUGACGACGGUUCAACUCCGUCACUGCCGU